ACGGCUGGCGGCGUGCCUAACACAUGCAAGUCGAACGGAGCACUUCGGUGCUUAGCGGCGGACGGGUGAGUAACGCGUGAGCAACCUGCCUCUUACAGGGGGAUAACGCAUCGAAAGAUGUGCUAAUACCGCGUAAGACCACAGCAUCACAUGGUGCAGGGGGUCAAAGGAGCAAUCCGGUAAGAGAUGGGCUCGCGUCCGAUUAGCUAGUUGGCGGGAUAACAGCCCACCAAGGCGACGAUCGGUAGCCGACCUGAGAGGGUGAUCGGCCACAUUGGAACUGAGAUACGGUCCAGACUCCUACGGGAGGCAGCAGUGGGGAAUAUUGGGCAAUGGGCGAAAGCCUGACCCAGCAACGCCGCGUGAGGGAAGAAGGGUUUCGGCUCGUAAACCUCUGUCCUAUGGGACGAAGAAGUGACGGUACCAUAGGAGGAAGCCCCGGCUAACUACGUG
rnacentral:rRNA from 1 species